CUACUCCUACGGGAGGCAGCAGUAGGGAAUCUUCCGCAAUGGACGAAAGUCUGACGGAGCAACGCCGCGUGAGUGAUGAAGGCUUUCGGGUCGUAAAACUCUGUUGUUAGGGAAGAACAAGUGCUAGUUGAAUAAGCUGGCACCUGACGUACCAGC
rnacentral:rRNA from 1 species